CCUACGGGGGGCAGCAGUGAGGAAUAUUGGUCAAUGGGCGCGAGCCUGAACCAGCCAAGCCGCGUGAGUGAAGACGGUCCUCUGGAUUGUAAACCUCUUUUGUCGGGGAGCAAAAGACGCCACGCGUGGCGUUCCGAGAGUACCAGAAGAAAAAGCAUCGGCUAACUCCGUGCCAGCAGCCGCGGUAAUACGGAGGAUGCGAGCGUUAUCCGGAUUUAUUGGGUUAAAAGGGUGCUCAGGCGGAAGAUCAAGUCAGCGGUAAAAUUGAGAGUCUAAACCUCGUCGAGCCGUUGAAACUGGGUUGCUUGAGUGAGUGAGAAGUAAGCGGAAUGCGUGGUGUAGCGGUGAAAUGCAUAGAUAUCACGCAGAACUCCGAUUGCGAAGGCAGCAUACCGGCGCUCAACUGACGCUCAUGCACGAAAGUGUGGGUAUCGAACAGGAUUAGAUACCCCAGUAGUC
rnacentral:rRNA from 1 species